rnacentral:rRNA from 1 species
UACGAAGGGGGCUAGCGUUGUUCGGAUUAACUGGGCGUAAAGCGCGCGUAGGCGGGUUUUUAAGUCAGGGGUGAAAUCCCAAGGCUCAACCUUGGAACUGCCUUUGAUACUGGAAAUCUUGAGUCCGGGAGAGGUGAGUGGAACUGCGAGUGUAGAGGUGAAAUUCGUAGAUAUUCGCAAGAACACCAGUGGCGAAGGCGGCUCACUGGCCCGGUACUGACGCUGAUGUGCGAAAGCGUGGGGAGCAAACAGG